CCUUCGGCACACGAGGCCUUCACUGCGGCUGCGUGGGCUCUUGGCGCGCGCGUGAGAUUUGGACCGCGCCUGCGUGCACUCAGGGAGCGCUGGGGCUGCGUGCUCCCCGACGUCCUCCCGCCAGCUCCCUCAGGCCUCUGUGCAGCCUGUGUUUUCGA
rnacentral:lncRNA from 1 species